GGAAUAUUGCACAAUGGGGGAAACCCUGAUGCAGCGACGCCGCGUGAGUGAAGAAGUAUCCCGGUAUGUAAAGCUCUAUCAGCAGGAAAGAUAAUGACGGUACCUGACUAAGAAGCCCCGGCUAACUACGCGCCAGAAGCCGCGGUAAUACGUAGGGGGCAAGCGUUAUCCGGAUUUACUGGGUGUAAAGGGAGCGUAGACGGCAGCGCAAGUCUGGAGUGAAAUGCCGGGGCCCAACCCCGGAACUGCUUUGGAAACUGUGCGGCUCGAGUGCGGGAGAGGUAGGCGGAAUUCCUAGUGUAGCGGUGAAAUGCGUAGAUAUUAGGAGGAACACCAGUGGCGAAGGCGGCUUACUGGACCGUAACUGACGUUGAGGCUCGAAAGCGUGGGGAGCAAACA
rnacentral:rRNA from 1 species